UACAGAGGUCUCAAGCGUUGUUCGGAUUCAUUGGGCGUAAAGGGUGCGUAGGUGGCGCCGUAAGUCAGGUGUGAAAUCUCGGGGCUCAACCCCGAAACUGCACUUGAUACUGCGGUGCUCGAGUACUGGAGAGGAGAUUGGAAUUUACGGUGUAGCAGUGAAAUGCGUAGAUAUCGUGAGGAACACCAGAGGCGAAGGCGGUUACCUGGACAGUUACUGACGCUCAGGCACGAAAGCAUGGGGAGCAAAAGGG
rnacentral:rRNA from 1 species